rnacentral:rRNA from 1 species
UACGUAGGGGGCUAGCGUUGUCCGGAAUCAUUGGGCGUAAAGAGCGUGUAGGCGGCCCGGUAAGUCCGCUGUGAAAGUCGGGGGCUCAACCCUCGAAUGCCGGUGGAUACUGUCGGGCUAGAGUGCGGAAGAGGCGAGUGGAAUUCCCGGUGUAGCGGUGAAAUGGCGUAGAUAUCGGGAGGAACAUCAGUGGCGAAGGCGGGUCUCUGGGCCGAUACUGACGCUGAGGAGCGAAAGCGUGGGGAGCGAACAGG